rnacentral:rRNA from 1 species
AGAUUGAACGCUGGCGGCAGGCCUAACACAUGCAAGUCGAGCGGCAGCACGGGUACUUGUACCUGGUGGCGAGCGGCGGACGGGUGAGUAAUGCCUAGGAAUCUGCCUGGUAGUGGGGGAUAACGCUCGGAAACGGACGCUAAUACCGCAUACGUCCUACGGGAGAAAGCAGGGGACCUUCGGGCCUUGCGCUAUCAGAUGAGCCUAGGUCGGAUUAGCUAGUUGGUGAGGUAAUGGCUCACCAAGGCGACGAUCCGUAAUGGUCUGAGAGGAUGAUCAGUCACACUGGAACUG